GAGAAUAAGCUCUUGUUCUCUUUUUGUUCCCAAACGUAAUUUUUGGUACGCGAGAAUAAUAGUUCUUGAGUUUCUAAAAUAAGCUAAUAUAAUGCGGUAUAAGUUUGUAAUUGCUGUCCCACCAUUUUUUUUUUUUUUUUUGGGAACAAACUUGUUUUCAAGGGAAACAAGGUUCAUUAAAGUAUAAAUUUAAUUUUAAUUAUAGUAUUGAAUUAUUAAUUAAUCUAAUUAAUAUAUUUAAAUUAUUGUUCAUUGCUUAAAUAAUAAAGUAAUUUAUUAAUUAGGGAUUUUCAUGCUUUUUGAAAACUCACUCUUAGCACAUAUUUUCGAAGAAAUUUGAAAUUUUCAAUACGCCAUUUAAAAACUUAGACUUUAUUUGGAUGUUAGAACAAGUUAUCUAAUAAUAAUUUGUAUG
rnacentral:lncRNA from 1 species